AGGAAAAAAAAAUCAGAGACAAACCCUUCAUCAGUGAGAACUAUAACCAGAGAAGGUUAAUGCCCUUUAACAGGUCAUGUGCAAGCUUCGUGGCAGCAAAAAGGAACAUGUACCUUAAAGGAUUUGAGUUCUUAUAGCCUUUGGAGGCUAAUGUAACAUCUUACUGGCAUACUUGGAGGACUACGGACUCUAUAAAAAGCAAUUCUUGACCAGAGGGAAUUCCCCAAAUAUGGUAAAGCAGGAUACAGCUCAGCUAAGGGGCAAAGUGCACUAACCUGUGAAGAAAGUCAAGACAACCCAAGUCACCCAGAGGAACAGAGCCACAAGAGAGCUCCCUCCACUUUCUCAGUAAGGUGCCUGCUGCUGUGAUGGGUGAAGAAAGACUGGUUGAGCAAGGACUGGAAGUAAGCAGCCUUAAUCUGCAUUCCUUUUUA